AUACCAAGUGGGGGUGAGGAGCAAGUAUUGACACCUGCUAUAAAUACUGAACAGCAUAUUUCCACAUAUCAUGCAGCAGGUUGGAGCAAGAGGCUGUGUGGAGCGUUGAUGAGAAGCAGGAUUGGUUUUAUCUUCCUUCAAGCAGGGUGUUUGCUUUGACAAAGCAUGCUUUCUGGCCACACCUGUUUCAUCGAACAUGAGAGUAAAACCUGGUGCUGGAGCCAUGGUGAAAGUCCAGGGGGUGUCACCAGCACGCGAGAAACAACACAAAACACAGAUAAAGUGUAAUGCCGCUACACUUGGAAAAACACUAUCACAAAUAAACAACAAAGACACACAGAGAUUUGGAUUAGAGACCAGGAUCAAUAGCAACACGAUGCAAGAAGUUGUGUACAAUAAACACCAAAAGGUUGUGGAAUAGUGUGUCUUAUUGGUGACGAAGUGUGGAGUGUCUGCAGGUGACUCACCAGAAAGACCACAUUUGUCUGCUGAUACAAGGCUCUGGCCACACUGAUGCGCUGCUUCUGCCCACCCGAGAGGAUGAUACCCUGUAAUAAAGGCAGGAGUGUAACGCAAGAUGAGAUGCUAUCACACAAAAGGGAACAAAUGGCUUCAUUUUAAAAGCGGCCAGUCCUGUUAUCCCCUAAGUCGGACUGCAAUCCAUCAUAAAAGUCCAAAUCCCUGCACACACCAGCAUCUCAUCCUUGCAGCACAGUAAUAAUGACCAAUGUUGUUGCAGUGUAACAAGCCACAGAGGGAUAAGCCAUUGCCAGAUCAGGCAAUAAAAAAAACCAACAGAGGAAUUCAAAUGAAUCGUUACUGACCCUCUCUCCAAUCUCUGUCUGGUCCCCCUGUGGCAGGAUGUCGAUGUCAGGCUGAAGAGAGCAGGCUUCAAUGACGGCUUUGUAUCUAGAGAAAACAAACAGACGGACAGAAUACAGAAGAGGACCAGCACACAAAAGCUCAACUGCAACAAUAUUGUACCAAACACCUGCAAAAAAACCUGUAGAUUCCUCAAUUGUCAAAUAUUGUGCAUACAGAACUACUAAAAUUCAAAGAUUGUGUGGAACUA